rnacentral:ncRNA from 1 species
GGCCAAGUUUUUAAGGGCGCACGGUGGAUGCCUUGGCACCAGGAACCGAUGAAGGACGUGGGAGGCCACGAUAGUCCCCGGGGAGUCGUCAACCAGGCUUUGAUCCGGGGGUUUCCGAAUGGGGAAACCCGGCAGUCGUCAUGGGCUGUCACCCGCUGCUGAACACAUAGGCAGUGUGGAGGGAACGCGGGGAAGUGAAACAUCUCAGUACCCGCAGGAAGAGAAAACAACCGUGAUUCCGGGAGUAGUGGCGAGCGAAACCGGAUGAGGCCAAACCGUAUGCGUGUGAGACCCGGCAGGGGUUGCGUAUACGGGGUUGUGGGAUCUCUCUUCUGUUGUCUGCCGGCAACAGGACGAGUCAGAAACCGUUGAUGUAGGCGAAGGACAUGCGAAAGGUCCGGCGUAGAGGGUAAGACCCCCGUAGUCGAAACGUCAGCGGCUCGUUUGAGAGACACCCAAGUAGCACGGGGCCCGAGAAAUCCCGUGUGAAUCUGGCGGGACCACCCGCUAAGCCUAAAUAUUCCCUGGUGACCGAUAGCGGAUAGUACCGUGAGGGAAUGGUAGAAAAGUACCGCGGGAGCGGAGUGAAAUAGUACCUGAAACCGUGUGCCUACAAGCCGUGGGAGCGUCGGAUGGAAGCUUGCUUCCAUCUCGUGACUGCGUGCCUUUUGAAGAAUGAGCCUGCGUAGUUUGCGGUGUGUUGC